rnacentral:misc_RNA from 1 species
GAUGAAGAACGCAGCGAAACGCGAUAAGUAAUGUGAAUUACAGAAUUCAGUGAAUCAUCGAAUCUUUGAACGCACAUUGCGCCCGUCAGUAUUCUGGCGGGCAUGCCUGUUCGAGCGUCAUUACGCCCCUCAAGUCCCCUGUGGACUUGGUGUUGGGGAUCGGCGAGGCUGGUUUUCCAGCACAGCCGUCCCUUAAAUUAAUUGGCGGUCUCGCCGUGGCCCUCCUCUGCGCAGUAGUAAAACACUCGCAACAGGAGCCCGGCGCGGUCCACUGCCGUAAAACCCCCCAACUUUUUAUAGUUGACCUCGAAUCAGGUAGGACUACCCGCUGAACUUAAGCAUAUCAAUAAGCGGAGGA